rnacentral:rRNA from 1 species
GAUGAACGCUGGCGGCGUGCCUAAUACAUGCAAGUCGAGCGAACAGACGAGGAGCUUGCUCCUCUGACGUUAGCGGCGGACGGGUGAGUAACACGUGGAUAACCUACCUAUAAGACUGGGAUAACUUCGGGAAACCGGAGCUAAUACCGGAUAAUAUAUUGAACCGCAUGGUUCAAUAGUGAAAGACGGUUUUGCUGUCACUUAUAGAUGGAUCCGCGCCGCAUUAGCUAGUUGGUAAGGUAACGGCUUACCAAGGCAACGAUGCGUAGCCGACCUGGGAGGGUGAUAGGCCACACUGGAACUGAGACACGGUCCAGACUCCUACGGGAGGCAGAAGUAGGGAAUCUUCCGCAAUGGGCGAAAGCCUGACGGAGCAACGCCGCGUGAGUGAUGAAGGUCUUCGGAUCGUAAAACUCUGUUAUUAGGGAAGAACAAAUGUGUAAGUAACUAUGCACGUCUUGACGGUACCUAAUCAGAAAGCCACGGCUAACUACGUG